rnacentral:rRNA from 1 species
ACCUGCGGAAGGAUCAUUACAAGUGAGGCUACCGAACGUUGGAAACAGCGGUUAGGAGCUUACACCCACCCGUGUCUACAUACUAUUGUUGCUUUGGCGGGCCGUGGCCUCCACUGCGGGCUCUGCUCGUGUGUGCCCGCCAGAGAACCAAACUCUGAAUGUUAGUGAUGUCUGAGUACUAUCUAAUAGUUAAAACUUUCAACAACGGAUCUCUUGGUUCUGGCAUCGAUGAAGAACGCAGCGAAAUGCGAUAAGUAAUGUGAAUUGCAGAAUUCAGUGAAUCAUCGAAUCUUUGAACGCACAUUGCGCCCUGUGGUAUUCCGCAGGGCAUGCCUGUUCGAGCGUCAUUUAACCACUCACGCCUAGCGUGGUAUUGGGGCACGCGGUCUUCGCGGCCCUCAAAAUUAGUGGCGGCGCCGGUGGGCUCUAAGCGUAGUACAUACUCCCGCUAUAGAGUUCCCCCGGUGGCUCGCCAGAACCCCCAAUUUUUACAGGUUGACCUC